UACAGAGGGGGCAAGCGUUAUUCGGAAUUAUUGGGCGUAAAGAGCGCGCAGGCGGUCGUUCAAGUCGCGUGUGAAAGCCCCCCGGCUCAACUGGGGAGGGUCACGCGAUACUGAUCGACUCGAAGGCAGGAGAGGGUAGUGGAAUUCCCGGUGUAGUGGUGAAAUGCGUAGAUAUCGGGAGGAACACCAGUGGCGAAGGCGACUACCUGGCCUGUUCUUGACGCUGAGGCGCGAAAGCUAGGGGAGCAAACGGGG
rnacentral:rRNA from 1 species